rnacentral:rRNA from 1 species
UACGAAGGGUGCAAGCGUUACUCGGAAUUAUCGUGGCGUAAAGCGUGCGUAGGUGGUUUUUGUUAAGUCUGAUGUGAAAGCCCUGGCUCAAACCCUGGGAAUUGCAUUGGAUACUGGCAGGCUAGAGUGCGGGUAGAGGAGUGGCGGAAUUCCGGUGUAGCAGUGAAAUGCGUAGAGAUCGGGAGGAACAUCUGUGGCGAAGGCGGCCAUCAUGGACCCAGCAC